AGUCUCCAUGGCAACACUGACUGCCUUGAACACUUUCGCCAGUCUAAGGGGAAGACAGAGCCAGUUUAGAUUGUAAUCUCUGUUCUUGCACAUUCACUAGGGGUAUCCACGACAUCCUUCCAUGGCCCUGAAGAAGAAACUUAAUUUUUUAUGGACAUUAGCUCUGUAUUUGAUAGCCACUAGACUGCCCAAGGCAUUCGGCAAUGAUCUGCCUAGGGUGCCAAGUAUCUUGGAUCCGAAAUUUAUAGAUGCAUUCCUCAACAUCCACAAUGAACUGCGACGCAAGGUCCAGCCCCCGGCAGCUGAUAUGAAUCAAGUGAUUUGGGACCAGAAGCUGGCAAAACUAGCGAAAGCAUGGACUAGAGAGUGCAAACUUGGCCAUAAUCCCUGUACUUCAAAACAAUAUGGAUGUCUUCUGGACUAUGACUUUAUUGGAGAAAAUAUAUAUUUGGGUGAAAUAGAAACCCAACCAGAAGAUGUUGUUAAUAAUUGGUAUAAUGAAAAUACAGAUUAUAAUUUUGUUGAUAAUACCUGUUCUAAAAUAUGUCGCAAUUAUACACAGCUAGUUUGGGCCAAAACGUUUAAAAUUGGUUGUGCAGUUUCAAAUUGUCCUAAUCUCACCAGAUAUUCAGCUGGGCUAUUUGUAUGUAAUUAUUCACCAACUCAGGUGACUGUGUCUUUUUCCCCAUUGGCUGAGGACCAACCUCACCGUCUCACCCGAUUGGCUAGUCUUAAAAGAAUUGGUGCAUAAGAAAUGAAGGAGAAGGAGCAAGGAGAGGAAAUUUUCUAGACUUCAGACCUUACAGGAAAGGAGACCCCUGCUCUAUGUGUGGACAAAGGAAGUGUGAGAAUAGUCUCUGCCGUCCCAUGAAUCGGAAGACACCUCACCAGAAAGCAGCAUGCCAUGUACUUGUGCUUGGUUUUAUUCUUCAGAGACUACUUUAACUGUUAUUUCUAUUCAGAAGAAAAAAUUUAAAUGCUAAAAAUAAAAGACUUAUUUUUCUGACUA